CGGCCGUCCCGCAGCCGCCCCCGAGCGGAGCCGCUGCGCUUCCCGCGCCCCGGAGGACGGCGAUGGAGGUGCCCGAAAGGACCCCGGGCCGCGGGGCCGCUCACUCGCGAGUCCUUUCACUGCGUUUCCCUCUUUUCACCAGGGAAAGUUCUCCCGUGCGAUCGUUCCCGUAAGUUCUCGGCAGCACGCCUUCACUUAAAGCACGUUCGGGCUUUUCUAUCCCCAUGGCGUGCAGACAGCUCACCAGAAUUCACACCCGUCGUACGGACACGCGGUCCUUCGAAGAGCUAGAAAAGCUUCCCACCACCUCACGGUGUUAAAAGGACAUUUGUGACAGCAGGUUGUUUGUUUUGUCCUGGGAUACGAUAGUAAGGAGCCCGCUUAACUGCAAGCAAAGAACACGCAGUCUCCCGAGGAGCUGCAGGUUUGCAGGGCAGGCAGGCCCUUCGCUGUGCAGAAAUGUACGUGUGAGCUUCAGCCGUGCCUCCCAAACCUGGAGACUUCUUAGUUGGCUUUUUUUUUUUUCCCUCCCCGUGACCGCUCUAAGAGAUGCGAAAUUGUUCAUUCAUUAUCUCAACAUUCACUGCAAUAUUUCUGCUGCCAAUUGCUGUGGAUAGCUGCAGUGCCAAAUACGCCUUUACUGAAAGAUGAGCACAGAGGAAAGGAUGCAUUUCUCCUGGGAAAUAAUCUGUUAGCACUUUGCCCACACAUCUUAAGGACUCGACAGCUCCCUUUUUUUCAGUCCUUUAGAUGGCAACUUUCUCUGGAGUUGGGCUCCUUCCACACUCUGAAGAUGAAUUUGUCACAGGAAGUUAGACUUGCUUCUGAUAACUGAUACCUUCCUGUGUACGUUCUGUCAACGUAUCACAAAUACAUUGAUUCUGAAAAUACUUGGGCAAAUAACAACAGUAAUUUAAAGCAAUUUAAAUAGUCAAUGUGUGUAUUUAUGCAUACAGUAUGUGUGUACUUCACAUACCUGCACAUAUGCUACACACUGUGACAGUACACAGUCUAUAUAUGCAUGGCACACGAUACCUGGCAUUCAGAGGACUGAGACCCCUUUCUGCACACACACUUCCACACGUCUGUGGGGUAUGCAUGUGUUCUUACAUCCUAAGUGAUAAGAGAUCAUUCUGAAUGCUGAAUUCUGAACAUAUUGCUGUGAGUAAGGUGGCAGUCCCCAAACCACAUCAGGUCAUUUCUCAGAACUCCUGUCCCAUUACACGCUCAUUGCUGCUGUCAGCAGCCUGGGACUACGAAGAGACAGAGCCAACCUUGGCAGAGGGCUUCCAGCAACAUCCAGAGAACAGUUUCCUGGCACAGUGCUGCCUGGCACUUUGUCAUCACUCACUUCAGUUGCAAUGUGAAUUUGGAGAGGUUUUCUCCGUGCUUUCUGUACGGUUUCAGGUAGUCCCUCAUCAUCACCACCUCACCACAGGGACAGCUGCUGAUCUUUAACCCCGUUCUCCGUAGCCUGCUAUGAGCAGUGACUUGGAGACUCAGUGACUUUAUGAGGUAUGUUCAGUUUAUGUGGAAGCACCCAGACUCAGAGACUCUCACUGCAGCCGUCACAGGACUCGAGACAGCAAUGAGGGUGCAAGGAGGGCCAAAAUACACAGUGCUCAACACUUUUUGCUCUGAACGCGGGCAAUGAGUACGAACCCCUCCACACAAUUUGAAACCCUCUGCCACUGAUACAGAGUAGCAGCUCCCAACAGGUCAAAAAUCCAGCUGAGGGCUGUGUAGGAGAACGUUAACAAAUGAGGAUAUGCAGAAAUGAGGGAUAUCUAUUUGCAGCAGGAAAAGGGCAAACAACUCACACUGCAUCUGGCACAGAAUUAAAAAGUGUACAACGGAUUAGAUAUCAGCCACUUCUAUCAAAUCCAUGCCCAGGAACCUAGGGGGAGGGAAACACGGAAGAGCAGAUGCUUAGAAGCUUCAUCUCCCAAGGAGACAAACCUUCUGUGACUCUGUGGAGAACCAGCCAUUUCCUCUCCUGAUGACUUUUGGAUCCCUUGGCCAAUUUUAAUCAAACUUGACAGAGGAGCGAGUACACAGAGUACAAACUCUGUAGAAGUCAAGAACUGCAAAGAGGAGGGAAAGAAAACAUUUCCAGUGUAGGAAAGACCAGAACACAAGGAAAUUGCAACGUGGUCUGGGAGGCUGCCCACUAGCCAAGCCAUCAUGUGCGCAUGCAGCACAUCCCUGGCUCAAGAAACAGAAAGGAGCUUCUCUUUAUCCCCAGUGUUGUUAGAGGACAACACUGUACAUCUGAAUGCAAACAAGUGGAAAUUUGCAUGGAACUCUACUGGGUGAGUGGAGGAAAAGUAACUCUGGGUGGUUUUCUGCAGCUUACUGGGCUGGAAACAGUGCAGAAUAUCUGGCUACAGCCUGCCAGAAAGUAUAUGACAUGAUCACAGACUGGAAAUAAAUGGUUUGUCGGCCUGUACUAAAUGAGGGUAAAGAAAUAGACAAUGGAACCUGCAAGAUAUGUCUGCAAUUAUAUUCCACAUAACACUAAUGUUCAGCUGUAGAAGCUACCUCUUCCUUCCUGUUUUCUCUAUCAAAAGUCUAAGCAAAGGAACUGCCAAAUUUCAUUUAGCUGUUAGAUUGUACAGCUUCCACUGGACUUGUCAGAGAACCUACUGUUUACAUCAGUGCCUGAAAAGCCUUAACACUGAGAACGUCACUGAAAGUUCACUGCUUAGGGCACAGAGUUCUGCAGGAGCUGCAGUGCAAAUUCUUUGAUCCUUGUUCCAAACUACUCAGAGCUUGCUGAUCUUUCAGGAAUAUGACAUUAUUCAUCUUAUUCGUCUUUGGUUCAUCUUGUAUUCAAAAUUUUGGGAACAGAGGAGAAGAGUGGUUUUCAUUUCUAGCAAAAGGAUUGCCUAGCUUGAAUUUUACUUUUAUUUUUGUCUGGUCAUUUGGGUUUUGAUAUGAGAAGACAUUGCAGGAUUUAAAGGGUUGGAAUGGCAAAAACACUCUCUGAUAUCAGUGUUUUCUCAAAAGUUGCUUUGUCUUUUUCCUCUUAAUAUUACAUUUCAGCCUGCGAGCCAGCCUUCCUCCUGCCAACACCUGCUGGAACAUAAAGGAUUCUGAAACAACAACGAUCUGUCAGUUACAAAACAAUAGCUGGACUCUUUUUCACAUCGUUCUUGUACAAAGUUAGCCAUGUUCACCCAGAGACAUUUGAGUAAUAUAAGUCAAAUUAAAUAAAAGGGUGAAAGCAAAUUUAGAGCAAUAGUUAAAGUAAAGUAAAUCUCUGUGAGAUUACUUUUAUUGCAAACUGACUGUUUUUACUUUGUUUCUAUCCCUGCUCCAUUGAGUUUGUUACUUUUUCUAAUAAAUCUUGCCUUUAUUAAGUUUAUUGCUGUACAGAUCAUGUCAUGAAACUAUUUUCCCCAGUGGAACUCUUUUCUCUUCAGAAGAAGAAACACUGGGAGAUAAAACAGUGCCUUGAUCACAUCCUCCUCCUGCUGGUGGUGUUCAUAUUGAUGGGUGUGAUGCAAAUAAGAUGUGUAUUUGAGCAUAAACAUAAUUACAGUAUGUCUUUGUUGCGUGGCUGUCCCAUAACUUUAAAGAAACUUUGCCAAAUACAAUAUACUGCAAAUUUCUGUUACUUCUAUUUGUUUAUACUACUCUUAUUAUUAAAAUAAAUUAUCUUUUCACUUGAAAUGGCGAGUGCUAUUGACUGAGAUCCAUAGGAAUUUUUUUCAUAAGGAUAGGCUAAUCCCGUGGAAGGUGCUUUUUGUAUAGUCUAACUUUUGUCUUCUCAUAAGCAGUCACUUUCC
ensembl:lncRNA